rnacentral:rRNA from 1 species
AUUGAACGCUGGCGGCAUGCCUUACACAUGCAAGUCGAACGGCAGCACGGGGCAACCUGGUGGCGAGUGGCGAACGGGUGAGUAAUGCAUCGGAACGUACCUUUCAGUGGGGGAUAACGUAGCGAAAGUUACGCUAAUACCGCAUAUUCUGUGAGCAGGAAAGCAGGGGAUCGCAAGACCUUGAGCUGAUUGAGCGGCCGAUGUCAGAUUAGCUAGUUGGUGAGGUAAAGGCUCACCAAGGCGACGAACUGUAGCGGGUCUGAGAGGAUGAUCCGCCACACUGGAACUGAGACACGGUCCAGACUCCUACGGGAGGCAGCAGUGGGGAAUUUUGGACAAUGGGGGCAACCCUGAUCCAGCCAUGCCGCGUGAGUGAAGAAGGCCUUCGGGUUGUAAAGCUCUUUCGGCCGGGAAGAAAUCGCACGGGCUAAUACCCUGUGUGGAUGACGGUACCGGAAUAAGAAGCACCGGCUAACUACGUGCCAGCCGCCGCCGUAAUAC